GAUCGGAAGAGGAAGAUGAGAGGGCCAAUGAGCAGUGGGCAUGGGAACACGAAGGAAGGCUUAAUCCGAUAGAGAUACGAGCUUUCCUUUCCUGAUGCCUCCCAUGCCUAUUGCUCCUUGGUGCUCCUUCCUCUUCCUUUUGUCU
rnacentral:pre_miRNA from 1 species